UUGAAAGGGAAACGAUUGAAGACAGUCGUCCCGGUGGGUAAUAACCUUUCGGCGUGAUUAUGUGGAGCGUGAGGAGUUAAACACCUACAUACCUGCAGAGUCGUGUUCUUUAUGGUGUAAUAACCCGCAGGGUAGGUUAACGUCAAUUUCGACCGUCAUAAAAAGGUUGGGGGGAAUGUGGCUUCGAACUCGUAAUGAAGUGUUAUACCCUCCGGCAGAUGUGAUGAUCGGGAUUGAGGAUUGCAACGGAUAACCUUCUGGGCUACCCGCCAGAUCUCUGAAAGUUGCUCUGGUGCCGAAAGCUGGCUACAAACAUCAAUCGAAACGCUGAUCACUCGAGAGUACGACUGACUCGUUAAGGAUGUUGACGUA
rnacentral:rRNA from 1 species